rnacentral:rRNA from 1 species
CGCAUCUGUGCAUGCAGCAUAUCAAUAAGCGGAGGAAAAGAAACUAACAAGGAUUCCCCUAGUAACGGCGAGUGAAGCGGGAAGAGCUCAAAUUUGAAAUCUUAAAGGGUUUCCCUUUACGAAUUGUAGUUUAAAGAAGUGUUUUCUGUUGAGGUUUUGGUAAAAGUUCUUUGGAAUAGGACAUCAUAGAGGGUGAGAAUCCCGUAUUUGACCUUUACUUUCAACUUUGUGAUACACUUUCAAAGAGUCGGAUUGUUUGGGAAUGCAGUCCAAAAUGGGUGGUAAAUUUCAUCUAAAGCUAAAUAUUGGCGAGAGACCGAUAGCGAACAAGUACCGUGAGGGAAAGAUGAAAAGAACUUUGAAAAGAGAGUUAAACAGUACGUGAAAUUGUCAAAAGGGAAGCGUUUGACACCAGUGUUGUUUUUCUGAAAAAUCAAUUAAAGAACUGUCUAUGCUAAGUUGUUUAGACUUUAUCAGCUAACUGUUUAGUUUUGAGCUUUUCUUUAAUGCACUUUUCAGUUAACAAGUCAACAUCAAUUUCUUUUGCUGUAAAAAAAGCUUGAGGAAGGUGGCUUGAGUAUUCGUCUUAAGUGUUUAUAGCCUCUUGCCUAUGCAGUCGGAGAGAUUGAGGUCUGCAGCGUAGAUCCUUCGGGGCUAAAUGCAUUUGUGCUAAGUUAUAGCAUUUUAUAGACAACUUGUUGACUAUGAUUUGUCUUGUAGCUUACUCGCUUAUGUUAUUUUACCUACGCUUAGGAUGUUGAAGAUGUAGCACAUCAU